rnacentral:lncRNA from 1 species
CGCGGUUCCCAGAGGGUGUGAGGGGCUGGCGUGGACACACCGGGAAUGGACCGUACCCUUUUUCAAAAGGAACUCAUGAUGUAUACAAAUAGAAUGCUCUUCCCCUUCUUUGCUGGCCAAUUCCUACUCAUCUGUUAAAACCAAGCUUAGAGAUUACCUCUUUGAUGACAUCUCUACCAAGUCUGAUUGAGAACAUCUCUGUGAGCACAUAGUAUUCUAACAUCUCUAUCAUCAUACCAUGAAAUCAU